UCCUGGCUGGCUCAGUUGGUAGAGCAUGUAACUCUUGAUUUCAGGGUCAUGGGCUUGAGCCCCAUGUUGGGGG
rnacentral:tRNA from 1 species